rnacentral:rRNA from 1 species
CCUGCCCAGCAGAGAGACCCGCGAACA